AUUGAACGCUGGCGGCAUGCUUAACAUAUGCAAGUCGAACGCGAGAGGGCUUCGGCCCGAGUAGAGUGGCGGACGGGUGAGUAAUGCGUGGGAAUCUACCCUGGAGCGGGGGACAACCCGGGGAAACUCGGGCUAAUACCGCAUACGUCCUACGGGAGAAAGGGGGCCUCUGAAUGUAAGCUCCCACUCCAGGAUGAGCCCACGUCCGAUUAGCUAGUUGGUAGGGUAAAGGCCUACCAAGGCCACGAUCGGUAGCUGGUCUGAGAGGACGAUCAGCCACACUGGGACUGAGACACGGCCCAGACUCCUACGGGAGGCAGCAGUGGGGAAUAUUGGACAAUGGGCGCAAGCCUGAUCCAGCAAUGCCGCGUGUGUGAAGAAGGCCUGCGGGUUGUAAAGCACUUUCAGUGGGGAAGAACAGGCCUGGGCUAAUACCCCAAGCGUCUGACGUUACCCACAGAAGAAGCACCGGCUAACUCCGUGCCAGCAGCCGCGGUAA
rnacentral:rRNA from 1 species